GAUGAACGCUGGCGGCGUGCCUAAUACAUGCAAGUCGAGCGAACGGACGAGAAGCUUGCUUCUCUGAUGUUAGCGGCGGACGGGUGAGUAACACGUGGAUAACCUACCUAUAAGACUGGGAUAACUUCGGGAAACCGGAGCUAAUACCGGAUAAUAUUUUGAACCGCAUGAUUCAAAAGUGAAAGACGGUCUUGCUGUCACUUAUAGAUGGAUCCGCGCUGCAUUAGCUAGUUGGUAAGGUAACGGCUUACCAAGGCAACGAUGCAUAGCCGACCUGAGAGGGUGAUCGGCCACACUGGAACUGAGACACGGUCCAGACUCCUACGGGAGGCAGCAGUAGGGAAUCUUCCGCAAUGGGCGAAAGCCUGACGGAGCAACGCCGCGUGAGUGAUGAAGGUCUUCGGAUCGUAAAACUCUGUUAUUAGGGGAGAACAUAUGUGUAAGUAACUGUGCACAUCUUGACGGUACCUAAUCAGAAAGCCACGGCUAACUACGUG
rnacentral:rRNA from 1 species